CCUACGGCGUGCAGCAGUGGGGAAUAUUGGACAAUGGGCGAAAGCCUGAUCCAGCCAUGCCGCGUGUGUGAAGAAGGCCUUCGGGUUGUAAAGCACUUUCAGUGGGGAAGAAAGCCUUGGGGCUAAUACCCUCGAGGAAGGACAUCACCCACAGAAGAAGCACCGGCUAACUCCGUGCCAGCAGCCGCGGUAAUACGGAGGGUGCGAGCGUUAAUCGGAAUUACUGGGCGUAAAGCGCGCGUAGGCGGUCUGAUAAGCCGGUUGUGAAAGCCCCGGGCUCAACCUGGGAACGGCAUCCGGAACUGUCAGGCUAGAGUGCAGGAGAGGAAGGUAGAAUUCCCGGUGUAGCGGUGAAAUGCGUAGAGAGCGGGAGGAAUACCAGUGGCGAAGGCGGCCUUCUGGACUGACACUGACGCUGAGGUGCGAAAGCGUGGGUAGCAAACAGGAUUAGAUACCCCAGUAGUC
rnacentral:rRNA from 1 species